AGCAGCCGCGGUAAUUCCAGCUCCAAUAGCGUAUAUUAAAGUUGUUGCAGUUAAAAAGCUCGUAGUUGAAUUUCGGGGUUAGUAGGUUGGUCAUGCCUCUGGUAUGUACUGGUCUCACUGAUUCCUCCUUCCUGAUGAGCCGUAAUGCCAUUAAUUUGGUGUUGCGGGGAAUUUGGACUGUUACUUUGAAAAAUUGAGUGUUUAAAGCAAGCUAACGCUUGAAUACAUUAGCAUGGAAUAAUGAAAUAGGACGUUCGAUCCUAUUUUGUUGGUUUCUAGGAUUGACGUAAUGAUUAAUAGGGAUAGUUGGGGGCAUUAGUAUUCAAUUGUCAGAGGUGAAAUUCUUGGAUUUAUUGAAGACUAACUACUGCGAAAGCAUUUGCCAAGGAUGUUUUCAUUAAUCAAGAACGAAAGUUAGGGGAUCGAAGACGAUCAGAUACCGUCGUAGUCUUAACCAUAAACUAUGCCGACUAGGGAUCGGAUGAUGUUAAUUUUUAAUGACUCAUUCGGCGUACCCG
rnacentral:misc_RNA from 1 species